rnacentral:rRNA from 1 species
UACGGGGGGAGCAAGCGUUGUUCGGAUUUACUGGGCGUAAAGGGCGCGUAGGCGGCGUAACAAGUCACUUGUGAAAUCUCCGGGCUUAACCCGGAGCGGCCAAGUGAUACUGUUGUGCUAGAGUGCAGAAGGGGCAACUGGAAUUCUCGGGUGUAGCGGUGAAAUGCGUAGAUAUCAGGAGGAACACCGGUGGCGAAGGCGGGUCGUCUGGGCCGAUGACUGACGCUGAGGAGCGAAAGCGUGGGGAGCGAACAGG